rnacentral:misc_RNA from 1 species
UAGUUACACCCUUCACUGCUUCCUCUCCGCAAUACCACAAACAUGGACCUCCGUGAAUCGAUCGUGAAUCAAAACGCCGUCACUUUGGGCCUUUCCAAGCAUGUGCUCUUAACGGAAGCCAAAACCUCUAAUUCAGUGUUGUCGCCGCUGUCUAUCCAGGUGGUGCUUGGCCUCAUUGCUGCUGGAUCUAAGGGUCCUACCCUCCAUCAAUUGCUUUCUUUCCUCAACUCCAAGUCCAAUGACCACCUCAGCUCUUUCUUCUCCGAACUCGUUUCUGUGGUUUUUGUGGACGGAAGUGCCAGCGGUGGUCCACGCUUGUCAUUCGCCAACGGCGUUUGGGUGGACAGGUCUCUCUUACUUAAGCCCUCUUUCAAACAGGUUGUGGAAAAUGUCUAUAAGGCUGCUUCUAAUCAAGUUGAUUUCCA